AGAGUUUGAUCAUGGCUCAGGAUGAACGCUGGCGGCGUGCUUAACACAUGCAAGUCGAACGGGAAACCUUUUAAAGAAGCUUCGGCAGAUUUAGCUGGUUUCUAGUGGCGGACGGGUGAGUAACGCGUGGGUAACCUGCCUUGUACAGGGGGAUAACAGUCAGAAAUGACUGCUAAUACCGCAUAAGCGCACAGGACCGCAUGGUCCGGUGUGAAAAACUCCGGUGGUAUAAGAUGGACCCGCGUUGGAUUAGCUAGUUGGUGGGGUAACGGCCUACCAAGGCGACGAUCAGUAGGGGUUCUGAGAGGAAGGUCCCCCANAUUGGAACUGAGACACGGUCCAAACUCCUACGGGAGGCA
rnacentral:rRNA from 1 species